rnacentral:lncRNA from 1 species
UAAAAGAAAUGGAGAGGAUGAGGUCUUUGUCCUACCUGACUUUAGAUGCUGGACAGGGGCUGUAGAAAYAUUUGAAGUACAUUCCAGUGGAAGAAGUAUCUAGCAUUUCUUUUGCCUUUGCUGGUCACUGUAGUAUUGAUAGUAUUUCUCUCUAGGUCCUCUGCUUUUCAAGAGGCUCUUUCUGUGCAUCCCUAACUGCUGCCAUCAAUGAGCUUCUCCUCAAGUGGAGUUAAAGGAAAACAGGAACUCUUCAAUUUCAAGAGUAUCCUUGGGGUGCAUGAGAGGUACUGAAUAAUCCAGGAGAUGAAAGGUGGGUGUAGGAAGAGCAGGAUCAUUUAAAAUAUGUAGUUUUUUUUUUAUUGACAGGAUCUACAUAUACAGGUAUGGGAGGAUUCAAUUUCAGUUAUCAAGGCAGUAACAAGAUUUGCCAUGAGUGGAAGGAGGAGUCUGGCUCUCAGUCUUUCCAAUGCCCUUCCAUUUUAAGAACAGUCACGAAUUCUUUUCUUUUUUUAAAUAAUGAUGAGAGCAAUCAACGUCUGCCAAAAGCAAAUGAUGUGUCGGCUUACCAUAAGUUCCUUGUCAGGUCCAGAUUUGGAGAAUGGUGGUGGUCCCCCAGAGGUCUCCUAUUCUGCUGCUGUCCUCUGAGAGUGCUCUGCAGGGCCUGUGCCCACAGGAACGAGUCUGACUCCAGGUAG